rnacentral:rRNA from 1 species
UACGUAGGGUGCUAGCGUUGUUCGGAAUCACUGGGCGUAAAGCGCACGUAGGCGGACUCUUAAGUCAGGGGUGAAAUCCUGGAGCUCAACUCCAGAACUGCCUUUGAUACUGGGAGUCUUGAGUUCGGGAGAGGUGAGUGGAACUGCGAGUGUAGAGGUGAAAUUCGUAGAUAUUCGCAAGAACACCAGUGGCGAAGGCGGCUCACUGGCCCGAUACUGACGCUGAGGUGCGAAAGCGUGGGGAGCAAACAGGG